rnacentral:misc_RNA from 1 species
UUUUGUGGCGAGGGGAUUUAGCGAAACGUCGCACCGCCCCGCUGGGGUGCGACGUUUCGCUAAAUCCCCUCGCCACGGGA